rnacentral:lncRNA from 1 species
AAUUGCCAAAUUAGGAAGAAUGAUGGCGAUCUUGAUUUCAGACUUGUGAAAACACAGACAGCCAGGUGGUCGUUUGGCAGUACUGGAGUGGAUGGUUGAAGCGGUACACAUUAGAAGCUUAAGCACUCUGCAGCUGACUCCCUUCCACAGACUCCAUUUUCUCUCUCCAUAUAUACAGAAGAGCUUCAGUCCUGUCUCCUGGCCCGUGAAAGAUCUGGGCAGUCUGACUUCAGUAACC